UACAGAAAUGCGGUUUUGGCGGAGGCACUUAGAAUGCGAACGUUUGUUUAUAUAAAGCAUAUACAGUUGUAUUUUUUUCGAAAAUGACCCUUUGAAGCUGCACUGAAACUGUCAUUUGGACCUUGAACCGUUUGGUGUCCACUGAAGUCCAUUAUAUGGAGAAAAAUCCUGUAGAGUUUCCAUCAAAAAGCUUUUUUUUUUUUUUUUUUUUUUUUUUUUUUUUCGACUGAAGAAAGAAAGACAUGGACAUCUUGGAUGACAUGGGGGUGAGUAAAUUAUCAGCAAAAGUUUAUUUAAAAGUGAGCUAAUCCUUUAAAACAUGCUACUUUCUACUAUUGGCUGUCUGUAUAAUAAAUGAUAUUCAAACAACAAAAGAAAAGCUUUAAUAAGGAUUAAUCUAUAUUUAAUUUAUACAGUUAUGACUAUGUUAUUUUAUAUUUGAUUAUUCAAUUUCUGUGGUAUUUUUACUUAAUACUAUUAGACCUACCUGGAAAAAAAAAUAUAUAGCAUUUUUAUAUAUUUUUACCGUGGUAUCUAUCUACUUUUUUUUUUUUUUUUUUUCUUUCUCCAAAAGAGUCAUUUUCUGAGCUUGGAUUCAAUAAAAGAUGUUUUUGGACUAACAAGGAAAUUUUGAGUUCUGAAACUUACAGGAUGUUUUUAUAGUACAAUAACCUCUAACAUGUCAAGAAAAUUUCAAUUUCUCAAUUCAUGACCCCUUUAAACAACAUAAACUAAUUAAACCUUUUUCUAAGGUGUUAUCAAAAUAUAUAGAUAUUCUGCAUUAUUUCUAGGUCACUAAUCAAAUUAUCAAAUUUGUGUCAGUGAGCAUGUCAAGGCGUUGGGGCAUGUUGUCACAAAAGGCCAAUGUGUUAAAUAAACUGUACAUAUUUUUUUCCUAGCCAUUUUUGUAGCCAAGUCUUUAUGUGUCUAUACAGAAAUUGACCUUUUAAAAAGUGAGAAAUAUUCACUGGAGUAUAAAGUGCGACAACUAAAGUGUCCCAAUUUACAACUUAUAAAUUUGUAGUUGUGCAAACUCUCAUUCCGAUGUGUGAUCAGUAUUAAGAGCACCUCUUUGAGCUUCAAAAUUGCACUUGUUACAGUGUUCAUUGCCAGUGCAAAGGUGUGGAUUGUAUGUGUUUGUGUUUAUUAAUCAUUGUAUGUUGUCUCUGGCAGCAUGGGAUUGUGUGCGAGCAUUUGUGCAGAUGGACAGAAGGACAGGGCAGGUGGGGCGCUAGACAUACAGAUGGGACGCGCAUACCACAGCCUGUCUUGUCACGAGGCUAUUAUCCCCCAAAUCCUUCGAUGCACACAGGGCGCUUCUGUGCGAGUGUAGUGGAGACGAGUGACGGAGAUGAACUAUCUUUGCUGAAAAGACUGAGGGUGGCAGGCAUCAAAGGGCAGGAAGAGCAGAGAGCCCACACCCACUGAGCUAACAUUUAAACUCCAUCCAAUCCCACCAGGAACCAAAGGCACAGUGCUGAACGAGAGAUUAAACCCAGAAAUAUGUAUAAAAAAACUGAUUUUCUCCUGCUUUCAAAUUGGUUCAAAGGGACAAAGAAACUUCAUCAAAGCACCACGUCCUUCUUUUGCCCUUACAUUUACCAGCUUGGCAGAACAUGGAUCCAACGUCCUUCAGAUUUCAGUUUUAUGUCAUCAGAUGAUCAGUGCAAAUCUAUCUACUGUAUGUGUCUGUCUAUCUUUACUCAACUCCUGAAUAAGUGCUGUGCUGACAGGUGAGCUUCUGUACUCAAACAUCAUUUAAUGUAUGAACACACAAUAUGCAGUCUUUAGUUGUUUAUUUAUGUAAAAAUGUGCAAGAUUUGUGCUUUUGACUACUGAGACGUUUUUAAGAUGAUGUAAAAUUAAAAAAGUUAACAUUUUGAAUAGGGUUGUAAUGGUAUGAGAUUUUCACAGUAUGAUAACUGUCUCAGAAAAUAAUAAAAUAAAUAUAAAUCUAUUAUUAUUAUUAUUAUUAUUAUUAUUAUUAUCAUCAGUUAAAAUGACUUGAAUGAAAACAGAUUUUUUUUUUUUUUUGGUUGAAUAAAUGGUUAAAACCAUUUGUUUUUGUUUAUUCAAACU